UCAGUUAUCGUUUAUUUGAUAGUACCUUACUACUUGGAUAACCGUGGUAAUUCUAGAGCUAAUACAUGCUAAAAACCCCGACUCCGGGAGGGGUGUAUUUAUUAGAUAAAAAACCAACGCCCUUCGGGGCUCCUUGGUGAUUCAUAAUAACUAAACGAAUCGCAUGGCCUUGCGCCGGCGAUGGUUCAUUCAAAUUUCUGCCCUAUCAACUUUCGAUGGUAGGAUAGUGGCCUACCAUGGUAUCAACGGGUAACGGGGAAUUAGGGUUCUAUUCCGGAGAGGGAGCCUGAGAAACGGCUACCACAUCCAAGGAAGGCAGCAGGCGCGCAAAUUACCCAAUCCCGACACGGGGAGGUAGUGACAAUAAAUACUGAUACAGGGCUCUUACGGGUCUUGUAAUUGGAAUGAGUACAAUUUAAAUCCCUUAACGAGGAACAAUUGGAGGGCAAGUCUGGUGCCAGCAGCCGCGGUAAUUCCAGCUCCAAUAGCGUAUAUUAAAGUUGUUGCAGUUAAAAAGCUCGUAGUUGAACCUUGGGCCUGGCUGGCCGGUCCGCCUCACCGCGUGCACUGGUCCGGCCGGGCCUUUCCUUCUGGGGAUCCGCAUGUCCUUUACUGGGUGUGUCGGGGAACCAGGACUUUUACUUUGAAAAAAUUAGAGUGUUCAAAGCAGGCCUUUGCUCGAAUACAUUAGCAUGGAAUAAUAGAAUAGGACGUGCGGUUCUAUUUUGUUGGUUUCUAGGACCGCCGUAAUGAUUAAUAGGGAUAGUCGGGGGCAUCAGUAUUCAAUUGUCAGAGGUGAAAUUCUUGGAUUUAUUGAAGACUAACUACUGCGAAAGCAUUUGCCAAGGAUGUUUUCAUUAAUCAGUGAACGAAAGUUAGGGGAUCGAAGACGAUCAGAUACCGUCGUAGUCUUAACCAUAAACUAUGCCGACUAGGGAUCGGGCGAUGUUACUAUU
rnacentral:rRNA from 1 species